UACAGAGGGGGCAAGCGUUAUUCGGAAUUACUGGGCGUAAAGCGCACGUAGGCGGCUUUCUAAGUCGGGGGUGAAAUCCUGGAGCUCAACUCCAGAACUGCCUUCGAUACUGGAGAGCUCGAGUCCGGGAGAGGUGGGUGGAACUGCGAGUGUAGAGGUGAAAUUCGUAGAUAUUCGCAAGAACACCAGUGGCGAAGGCGGCUCACUGGCCCGGUACUGACGCUGAGGUGCGAAAGCGUGGGGAGCAAACAGG
rnacentral:rRNA from 1 species